rnacentral:lncRNA from 10 species
CUGCAGCUGUGCAGGGCAGACCCAGGACUUCGGGGACAAGCCCCUCGGCAUGCAGUAGGCUCCUGCUUUCCAAAACGCACUCACUCUGCUUCUCGGAAAGGCUUCUCGGCUGGCCCACGCUCCCUGUUGGCAGGAGACGAAGGAGGAAGGGAGAAAACCCUCCCUGGUUGGGGUGGGCUGUGUACCCUGCCCCACAGGGUCACCACUGGGAAGAAGGACAGGACAAGAAGAUUUCUGGGAAAGGGACCACCAUCUUUCUCAGGUUGUCAAAGGAGCCAGCAACCCCCGAAAGUUGUAAGAUUCUGCCUCAGGGAAGAUGAUGCAGGCCUCAGCAGGUGCCCUCAACAGCACAGACACUCCCAGGGACACCCCGGGCACCCCAGGCACCAAAGCACUGGGGCAAAGAUGAGAGUGGCUCACUCCACAUCUCCUUUGCUGAGAGCCAAGCCCUCUCCAAAGCCAAGAGAAAACAACAAAAUCGGACGGCAGUGCACACUCAGAAGCAUGAAACCCUGGCGAGGAAGCAUCAUUACAAUUAGCCGUGACGACAGGCUGCCUAUGAUCUUAGGACGCACAGUGGUUCUGCGUCAUCACAGACAGCAAGGGGUUCAGGAGGCGGCCGGUCGGCAGCGGACAGGACAUGGUGAGAGGUGACAGCGUGCUGGCAGCCCUUGCAGCCCUCGCUCGCUCUCGGUGCCUCCUCGGCCUUGGCGCCCACUCUGGCCGUGCUUGAGGAGCCCUUCAGCCCACCGCUGCACUGUGGGAGCCCCUUUCUGGGCUGGCCAAGGCCGGAGCCGGCUCCCUCAGCUUGCUGGGAGGUGUGGAGGGAGAGGUGCGGGCUGCGCGCGGCGCUUGCGGGCCAACGCAAGUUCCUGGUGGGCGUGGACUCGGCUGGCCCAGCACUCGGAGAGGCCGGCCGGCCAGCCCGCAAGCCCGGGGCAGUGAGGGGCUUAGCACCUGGGCCAGCAUUUGCUGUGCUCGAUUUCUCGCCAGGCCUUAGCUGCUUCCCCGCAGGGCAGGGCUUGGGACCUGCAGCCCGCCAUGCCUGAGCCUCCUCCCCCUCCCCACCGUGGGCUCCUGCGAGGCCCGAGCCUCCCAGACGAGCGCUGCUCCCUGCUCCAUGGCGCCCAGUCCCAUUGACCGCCCAAGGGCUGAGGAGUGUGGGCGUACAGCGCGGGACUGGCAAGCAGCUCCACCUGAGGCCCCGUGGGGGAUCCACUGGGUGAAGCCAGCUGGGCUCCUGAGUCUGGUGGGGACUUGGAGAAUCUUUAUGUCUAGCUAAGGGGUUGUAAAUGCACCAAUCAGCACUCUGUAUCUAGCUGAAGGUUUGUAAACACACCAAUCGGCACCCUCUGCCUAGCUCAGGGUUUGUGAAUGCACCAGUCGGCACUCUGUAUCUAGUUAAUCUGGUGGGGACUUGGAGAAUCUUUAUGUCUAGCUAAGGGAUUGUGAAUGCACCAAUUGGCACUCUGUAUCUAGCUCAAGGUUUGUAAAUGCACCAAUCAGCACUCUAUAUCUAGCUCAGGGUUUGUAAAUACACCAAUGGACACUCUGUAUCUAGCUAAUCUAGUGGGGACGUGGAGAACUUUUGUGUCUAGCUCAGGGAUUGUAAACGCACCAAUCAGCACCCUGUCAAAACGGACCAAUCAGCUCUCUGUAAAAUGGACCAAUCAGCAGGAUGCGGGUGGGGCCAGAUAAAAGAAUAAAAGCGGGCUGCCGAAGCCAGCCGUGGUUGCCUUACACACUAUGCAAGCUUUGCUGUUUGCAGUAAAACUGGCUGCUGCUUGCUCUUUGGGUCCACACUGACUUUAUGAGCUGUAGCACUCACCAUGAAGGUUUGUAGCUUUACUCUUGAAGCCAGUGAGAUUAAAAACCCACCGGGAGGAACAAACAACUCCAGUACGCGCCGCCUUAGGAGCUGUAACACUCACGGCGAAGGUCUGCAGCUUCACUCCUGAGCCAGCCGCACCACGAACCUAUCAGAAGGAAGAAACUCCGAACACAUCCGAACGUCAGGAACAAACUCCGGCCACGCCGCCUUUAAGAACUGUAGAACUCGCUACAGCACUCACCGUGAAGGUCUGCGAUUUCAUUCUUGAAGUCAGUGAGACCAAGAACCCACCAAGUCCGGACACAAUGGGACCUGUAUGCAGUCUAUGGGGCAGUUCAGACCAAAGGGCUGGGCGUGGCACCACAGCUGCCCCGAGCCCUUGGCCUCUCUGAGCUUUUCUCUCUCACCUGAGAAAUGGGAUUUCAAGGAAAAUGAGUAGCGGUAACUUACCCACCUUACUCCACGGUUACUGUGAAGCGCCCAGAAGAGAAGCCAUGGAUGUGGGCGACGCAUUCGAGGUUAGCUUCAGAAGCAGCGGGCGCUGGGUAGCCACAUUGACACCCGGUACUAGCGCUUCCUCCUGGGGGUUCCUGGGUCCAAGGGGGUUGUGGCAGUCCUUGCCACAGAGAUGCAGAGUCUGCAAUGUCCAAAUGUGCUUCGUGUGCAGUGGGAGCCUGGCAAGCUGUAACCCUUGUCGUGAUUCACGCGUCCCAGGGACACUUGGGGGCCGCUGUGGGCAACCCCCCACACCCCGCUUUUG